rnacentral:ribozyme from 1 species
GGCAGUGUUGUAGCAAUACCUCGCUGAUCCGAAGCCUCUAGAAGGUUAACAUAGGCUCUUCACCUCCUACUCCUACUCAAUACGUCCCCGUCGUACAGAACGGUAACAUGUCUCUCGAUAAAAACACCAAAACAACGAACAGUCAACAAGAAGAAGU